rnacentral:rRNA from 1 species
UAGAGUUUGAUCCUGGCUCAGGAUGAACGCUGGCGGUCUGCUUAACACAUGCAAGUCGAACGCAACCUUCGGGUUGAGUGGCGGACGGGUGAGUAACGCGUGAGAAUCUGCCUUGGGGUCGGGGACAACCACUGGAAACGGUGGCUAAUACCGGAUAAGCCUUUGGGUAAAAAAUUUAUUGCCCCAAGAGGAGCUCGCGUCUGAUUAGCUAGUUGGUGAGGUAAGAGCUCACCAAGGCAGCGAUCAGUAGCUGGUCUGAGAGGACGAUCAGCCACACUGGGACUGAGACACGGCCCAGACUCCUACGGGAGGCAGCAGUGGGGAAUUUUCCGCAAUGGGCGAAAGCCUGACGGAGCAAGACCGCGUGAGGGAGGAAGGCUCUUGGGUUGUAAACCUCUUUUCUCAGGGAAGAAGCUCUGACGGUACCUGAGGAAUCAGCCUCGGCUAACUCCGUGCCAGCAGCCGCGGUAAUACGGAGGAGGCAAGCGUUAUCCGGAAUUAUUGGGCGUAAAGCGUCCGCAGGUGGCGAUUCAAGUCUGCUGUCAAAGCACGGGGCUUAACUCCGUUAAGGCAGUGGAAACUGAAUAGCUAGAGUGCCGUAGGGGUAGAGGGAAUUCCCGGUGUAGCGGUGAAAUGCGUAGAGAUCGGGAAGAACAUCGGUGGCGAAAGCGCUCUACUGGACGGCAACUGACACUCAGGGACGAAAGCUAGGGGAGCGAAUGGGAUUAGAUACCCCAGUAGUCCUAGCUGUAAACGAUGGAUACUAGGUGUAGCUUGUAUCGACCCGAGCUGUGCCGAAGCUAACGCGUUAAGUAUCCCGCCUGGGGAGUACGCACGCAAGUGUGAAACUCAAAGGAA